rnacentral:rRNA from 1 species
UACGUAGGGUGCAAGCGUUAAUCGGAAUUACUGGGCGUAAAGCGUGCGCAGGCGGUUUUGUAAGUCUGUCGUGAAAGCCCCGGGCUCAACCUGGGAAUUGCGAUGGAGACUGCAAGGCUUGAAUCUGGCAGAGGGGGGUAGAAUUCCACGUGUAGCAGGUGAAAUGCGUAGAGAUGUGGAGGAAUACCGAUGGCGAAGGCAGCCCCCUGGGAUAACACUGACGCUCAUGCACGAAAGCGUGGGGAGCAAACAGG